rnacentral:misc_RNA from 1 species
AACUGAUACUACCUGCGGGAACCUGCGGAAGGAUCAUUAUUGAAUUGUGUUUCUAAAUGGGUUGUAGCUGGCUCGUCAGAGCAUGUGCACGCCUGUUUGGACUUCAUUUUCAUCCACCUGUGCACCUAUUGUAGUCUUUGGUUGGGUAUCGAGGAAGUGGUCAGCCUAUCAGCACUUGCUGGAUGUGAGGACUUGCAGUGUGAAAGCUUUGCUGUCCUUUACUUGAUCAUGGAGCUGUUU